rnacentral:rRNA from 1 species
GACAGAGGGUGCAAACGUUGUUCGGAAUUACUGGGCGUAAAGCGAGUGUAGGCGGUUAGGUAGGUCCGUUGUGAAAACUCGAGGCUCAACCUCGAGACGCCGAUGGAAACCAUCUGACUAGAGUCCGGAAGAGGAGAGUGGAAUUCCUGGUGUAGCGGUGAAAUGCGCAGAUAUCAGGAAGAACACCCGUGGCUAAGGCGGCUCUCUAGUACGGUACUGACGCUGAGACGCGAAAGCGUGGGGAGCGAACAGG